GAUGGAGAACGCAGCGAAAUGCGAUAAGUAAUGUGAAUUGCAGAAUUCAGUGAAUCAUCGAAUCUUUGAACGCACAUUGCGCCCCUUGGUAUUCCGAGGGGCAUGCCUGUUCGAGCGUCAUUAUAACCCCUCAAGCUCAGCUUGGUGUUGGGGCCUGCUGCACUGGCAGCCCUUAAAAUCAGUGGCGGCGCCAUCUGGCUCUAAGCGUAGUAAUUCUUCUCGCUAUGGAGUCCUGGUGGAUGCUUGCCAUCAACCCCCAAUUUUUCUAUGGUUGACCUCGGAUCAGGUAGGGAUACCCGCUGAACUUAAGCAUAUCAAUAAGCGGAGGA
rnacentral:misc_RNA from 1 species